rnacentral:rRNA from 1 species
AUUGAACGCUGGCGGUAUGCUUAACACAUGCAAGUCGAACGCGAAAGUUUCUUCGGAGACGAGUAGAGUGGCGGACGGGUGAGUAACGCGUAGGAAUCUACCUUAUAGUGGGGGACAACCCGGGGAAACUCGGGCUAAUACCGCAUAAUCUCUACGGAGGAAAAUAUGGGAUCUUCGGACCAUAUGCUAUUAGAUGAGCCUGCGUCGGAUUAGCUUGUUGGUGAGGUAAAGGCUCACCAAGGCGACGAUCCGUAGCUGGUCUGAGAGGACGAUCAGCCACACUGGGACUGAGACACGGCCCAG